rnacentral:rRNA from 1 species
CACGUAGGGUGCGAGCGUUGUCCGGAAUUAUUGGGCGUAAAGAGCUCGUAGGCGGUGUGUCGCGUCGGCCGUGAAAACCUGCAGCUCAACUGUGGGCUUGCGGUCGAUACGGGCAUCACUGGAGUUCGGCAGGGGAGACUGGAAUUCCUGGUGUAGCGGUGAAAUGCGCCAGAUAUCAGGAGGAACACCGGUGGCGAAGGCGGGUCUCUGGGCCGAUACUGACGUGGAGGAGCGAAAGCGUGGGGAGCGAACAGG